rnacentral:rRNA from 1 species
CCUACGGGAGGCAGCAGUGGGGAAUUUUGGACAAUGGGCGCAAGCCUGAUCCAGCCAUGCCGCGUGUGGGAAGAAGGCCUUCGGGUUGUAAACCACUUUUGUCAGGGAAGAAACGGCUCUUACUAAUAUUAGGGGCUAAUGACGGUACCUGAAGAAUAAGCACCGGCUAACUACGUGCCAGCAGCCGCGGUAAUACGUAGGGUGCAAGCGUUAAUCGGAAUUACUGGGCGUAAAGCGUGCGCAGGCGGCUUUGCAAGACAGAUGUGAAAUCCCCGGGCUCAACCUGGGAACUGCAUUUGUGACUGCAUGGCUAGAGUACGGUAGAGGGGGAUGGAAUUCCGCGUGUAGCAGUGAAAUGCGUAGAUAUGCGGAGGAACACCGAUGGCGAAGGCAAUCCCCUGGACCUGUACUGACGCUCAUGCACGAAAGCGUGGGGAGCAAACAGGAUUAGAUACCCUGGUAGUCCACGCCCUAAACGAUGUCAACUGUUGUUGGACGGCUUGCUGUUCAGUAACGAAGCUAACGCGUGAAGUUGACCGCCUGGGGAGUACGGCCGCAAGGUUGAAACUCAAAUGAAUUGCG